GACGAACGCUGGCGGCGUGCUUAACACAUGCAAGUCGAACGGAAAGGCCCUGCUUUUGUGGGGUGCUCGAGUGGCGAACGGGUGAGUAACACGUGAGUAACCUGCCCUUGACUUUGGGAUAACUUCAGGAAACUGGGGCUAAUACCUGAUAGGAGCUCCUGCUGCAUGGUGGGGGUUGGAAAGUUUCGGCGGUUGGGGAUGGACUCGCGGCUUAUCAGCUUGUUGGUGGGGUAGUGGCUUACCAAGGCUUUGACGGGUAGCCGGCCUGAGAGGGUGACCGGCAACAUUGGGACUGAGAGACGGCCCAGACUCCUACGGGAGGCAGCAGUGGGGAAUAUUGAACAAUGGGCGGAAGCCUGAUGCAGCAACGCCGCGUGCGGGAUGACGGCCUUCGGGUUGUAAACCGCUUUCGCCUGUGACGAAGCGUGAGUGACGGUAAUGGGUAAAGAAGCACCGGCUAACUACGUG
rnacentral:rRNA from 1 species